CUAUCACUGAUCCGAUUGCAUCCACUUGCAGUCGGUCGACAUGGGCCUUCAGCACUGAUCGCCUCGAAUUGCUCGCGAUCGUCGUGGUAGACAAGGGGAGUGUGGCAGCAAUGCCAUCCAGUGUUGUCGACGAUCAACCCGUGC
rnacentral:misc_RNA from 1 species